rnacentral:rRNA from 1 species
UACAGAGGUGGCAAGCGUUGUCCGGAAUCAUUGGGCGUAAAGAGCGUGUAGGCGGCCCGAUAAGUCCGCCGUGAAAGUCCAGGGCUCAACCCUGGGAUGCCGGUGGAAACUGUCGGGCUAGAGUCCGGAAGAGGCGAGUGGAAUUCCUGGUGUAGCGGUGAAAUGCGCAGAUAUCAGGAGGAACACCAAUGGCGAAGGCAGCUCGCUGGGACGGUACUGACGCUGAGACGCGAAAGCGUGGGGAGCAAACAGG